rnacentral:rRNA from 1 species
AUACGUAGGGGGCAAGCGUUAUCCGGAUUUACUGGGUGUAAAGGGAGCGUAGACGGUGUGACAAGUCUGAUGUGAAAACCCGGGGCUCAACUCCGGGAUUGCAUUGGAAACUGCCAUACUUGAGUGCAGGAGAGGAAAGUGGAAUUCCUAGUGUAGCGGUGAAAUGCGUAGAUAUUAGGAAGAAUACCAGUGGCGAAGGCGACUUUCUGGACUUAUACUGACGCUGAGGAACGAAAGCGUGGGGAGCAAACAGGAUUAGAUACCCUGGUAGUCCACGCCGUAAACGAUGAGUGCUAGGUGUCGGGUGUCAAAGCUCGGUGCCGGAGCUAACGCAUUAAGCACUCCGCCUGGGGAGUACGUACGCAAGUAUGAAACUCAAAUGAAUUGACGGGG